GAAAUGCGAUAAGUAAUGUGAAUUGCAGAAUUCAGUGAAUCAUCGAAUCUUUGAACGCACAUUGCGCCCGCCAGUAUUCUGGCGGGCAUGCCUGUUCGAGCGUCAUUUCAACCAUCAAGCCCCCGGCUUGUGUUGGGGACCUGCGGCUGCCCGCAGGCCCUGAAAAACAGUGGCGGGCUCGCUGUCACACCGAGCGUAGUAGCAUUCAUUCUCGCUCAGGGCGUGCUGCGGGUUCCGGCCGUUAAACGACCUUCAUAACCCAAGGUUGACCUCGGAUCAGGUAGGAAGACCCGCUGAACUUAAGC
rnacentral:misc_RNA from 1 species